rnacentral:rRNA from 1 species
CACGCAGGCGGUUGGUUAAGUCAGAUGUGAAAGCCCCGGGCUCAACCUGGGAAUUGCAUUUGAAACUGGCCAACUAGAGUAUGUGAGAGGGGGGUAGAAUUCCAAGUGUAGCGGUGAAAUGCGUAGAGAUUUGGAGGAAUACCAGUGGCGAAGGCGGCCCCCUGGCACAAUACUGACGCUCAGGUGCGAAAGCGUGGGGAGCAAACAGGAUUAGAUACCCUGGUA